rnacentral:rRNA from 1 species
AUUGAACGCUGGCGGAAUGCUUUACACAUGCAAGUCGAACGGCAGCACGGGGGCAACCCUGGUGGCGAGUGGCGAACGGGUGAGUAAUACAUCGGAACGUGCCCGGUCGUGGGGGAUAACGUAGCGAAAGUUACGCUAAUACCGCAUACGACCUGAGGAUGAAAGCGGGGGACCUUCGGGCCUCGCGCGAUCGGAGCGGCCGAUGUCAGAUUAGGUAGUUGGUGGGGUAAAGGCCUACCAAGCCGACGAUCUGUAGCUGGUCUGAGAGGACGACCAGCCACACUGGGACUGAGACACGGCCCAGACUCCUACGGGAGGCAGCAGUGGGGAAUUUUGGACAAUGGGCGCAAGCCUGAUCCAGCCAUUCCGCGUGCAGGACGAAGGCCUUCGGGUUGUAAACUGCUUUUGUAUGGAACGAAAAGGCUCUGGCUAAUACCUGGGGCUCAUGACGGUACCGUAAGAAUAAGCACCGGCUAACUACGUG